GACGAAGGGGGGCUAGCGUUGUUCGGAAUUACUGGGCGUAAAGCGCACGUAGGCGGCCUUUCAAGUCGGAUGUGAAAGCCCCCGAGCUUAACUCGGGGAACUGCAUUUUGAUACUGUUGGGCUAGAGACCGGGAGAGGAUAGCGGAAUUCCCAGUGUAGAGGUGAAAAUUCGUAGAUAUUGGGAAGAACACCAGUGGCGAAGGCGGCUAUCUGGACCGGUACUGACGCUGAGGUGCGAAAGCGUGGGGGAGCAAACAGG
rnacentral:rRNA from 1 species